UACAGAGGGGGCAAGCGUUGUUCGGAAUUACUGGGCGUAAAGGGCGCGUAGGCGGCCUUCUAAGUCGAACGUGAAAUCCCCGGGCUCAACCCGGGAACUGCGUCCGAUACUGGAAGGCUUGAAUCCGGGAGAGGGAUGUGGAAUUCCAGGUGUAGCGGUGAAAUUCGUAGAUAUCAGGAGGAACACCGGCGGCGAAGGCGGCGACCUGGACGGAUACUGACGCUCAGAUGCGAAAGCGUGGGUAGCAAACAGG
rnacentral:rRNA from 1 species